rnacentral:rRNA from 1 species
GAUGAACGCUGGCGGCGUGCCUAAUACAUGCAAGUCGAGCGAACAGACGAGGAGCUUGCUCCUCUGACGUUAGCGGCGGACGGGUGAGUAACACGUGGAUAACCUACCUAUAAGACUGGGAUAACUUCGGGAAACCGGAGCUAAUACCGGAUAACAUGUUGAACCGCAUGGUUCAACAGUGAAAGACGGUUUUGCUGUCACUUAUAGAUGGAUCCGCGCCGCAUUAGCUAGUUGGUAAGGUAACGGCUUACCAAGGCAACGAUGCGUAGCCGACCUGAGAGGGGGAUCGGCCACACUGGAACUGAGACACGGUCCAGACUCCUACGGGAGGCAGCAGUAGGGAAUCUUCCGCAAUGGGCGAAAGCCUGACGGAGCAACGCCGCGUGAGUGAAGAAGGUCUUCGGAUCGUAAAACUCUGUUAUUAGGGAAGAACAAAUGUGUAAGUAACUAUGCACGUCUUGACGGUACCUAAUCAGAAAGCCACGGCUAACUACGUG